rnacentral:lncRNA from 1 species
GGGCGGGGCGCGCCCACAGGUGACGCCGAGGGUGGGGCCGGCUGCGCGCAGGCAUCUUGGAGCAGGUAACGCGAUACCGGCUGGCGGCAGCGUCGUGAGGUGUGGCGUGCUGCGUCCUUCACCCACGGUAGGCGUGCCCCAUUCCUGCCGUAGUUUCUCCGAGAGGCCUCUUACCUGGUUCUCUUCGCGCGCCCCGGCGCUUCCGCGUCCUACUGGCUACCAAUAGGCAGCCGAGCCGCGUCCCUGUGCUGAGAUCCUGGAGGAUGCGGCUUCCUCCAGUCUGUGCAGCUUAGGCACGGAAAACCAGCUCUCUGGGAAAUAGAGCUCCUUUCUAGUCAGAGGGCAGGACAAAACUUCAGAUUAGAGGAACCAAAGCCCUCGAUUAACUGAGGCCGGAGCAUCCCUGCAAGCUGAAGGGUCGCCUCUACCUCAAGGAGUCCUGUUAUAUGGGGAUUGAUGGAACUGACCUGCAGAUAGACCAAACCCCGAGAUACCCCACACCACGUGCGUAGUCUCACUUCGUGGAGAGACUGCAGGCUUCAGUUCUGAUAGAUCAGUUCUGCAGCCCUCGUGGUGGCGCAUGCAUUAAAUCUCAGCACUCGGGAGGCAGAGGCAGAGUCCUUUAGUUUGCCUGCAGCUGGUCUAGUUUAGGCCAGCCAGGGCUACAUAGUAAGAACUCUGACUCAUAAACUGCCUUACUAAGGCAACUUCCAGAAGUUGUCUUCUGACCCUACACAGAUGCAGGCCUGCCUGCACUCCGACAUUCAAAUUAACACACACAAAUAAUACACAGUAGAUAGUGAUUCCUACAGCUUUGGGUUUUUUCAUUUGAUUGUUUUCAAGGUCACACAGACCCACCUGCCUCUACCUCCUGAGUGCUGGGCUUAAAGAGUGCACCACCACCACCUGGCUGGUUUGUUUGAAACUUUCGUGUACUCAAUCCUGACCUUGAAUUUGAUUUGUAGUGAAGGAUGACAUGGAAUUUGUGAUCCUCCUGUCUGCAUCUCCUAGUGCAGGCAUUACACCUCUGGGACUUCUGAGGUGCUGUCGAUGAGACACAGAGAUUUGUUCCUGCUAGAAGCACCCUGCCAGUCCAGCUACCUCCCAGACCUAGUCAUACCCGUGUAUGUAAAUUAACAGGAGAUGUGGCCACUGACUUCAUCUCCCAUUCUGCAACAGUUCCUUUUCAGUGGGGAUCUGUCCUCUUACUGGACUCUCACUCCGGCCUGCCACAGGCUCCCAGAUCUUGUGUUUCCCACAUAACAGACUCAAAUGAGCCAGAGUAUAAUUUAGGAGAUAGUUUAUAAUAAUAGAACAAGGAGGGUUAAGAGUGGAUAAUGGCCAGAGGGACCAGUGC